GUGCUUGCUUCGGCAGCCCAUAUACUAAAAUUUGAAAGAUUCAGAGAAGAUUAGCGUGGCCUCUGUGCAAGGAUGGCACUCUUAUUUAUUUAUUAUUUCUCGAUAUAA